CUCUUAUCGAGAGCGGUGGAGGGACUGGCCCGAUGAAACCCGGCAACCGGCAUCAGGCACGGUGCUAAAUCCAGCAGGGUUAUCCCUGAAAGAUGAGAG
rnacentral:ncRNA from 2 species